UAAGGAGGAAGACAGCUUCUGGGUCUUCAAGCAACCUUAUGGAGAGCUGGGGGUGACUGAACUUGGAAAUGGAUCUUUUGAGGCCUGCCAACAGCCACAUGAGGGAACCUGAAGGUGACCCCUCCCAAAAUGCCUGAGAUGACUAUCCAGCUCUUGCCCAUGGCUUUAGGGCAGUCUUGUGAGAGACCCUGAACCGGAUGUCCCAGCUAAACCACUCCUGGAUUCCUGGCCCACAAAAACUGAGAUAAUAAUUGGGAACACUGAGUUACAGAGAUAUUCAGAGACCGCAUCCACAACCCCAAAGUUGUGGGUUGUACAACUACACAGGACAUUGGAAAAUGGAGAAGGAAGCACUGUGCCCAGGAACUUUACAGCUCUUCACUGAGGCUGUUCCAUGGUGAAUUGCAGAAUAUGUCCCCCACCCAGUGGAAAAGACUCAUCACCUAGUGAGUUCUUCUAUCAGCCAUAUCAGUUGCACUCCACUCCAUCUUCAACCUAGCAGGAUUCACCUCCUUGCAAGAUGGCAAAAUUAUUCAAACAGGCUGCGGAAACCAGGGGCACCUCACCCUCUUGAUGCUACAAAGCCUGUCUGCUGCAGGUUGUUUAGUCUAUUCCCAAGUGCAGCUCCUGUGUGGCCCUGCCUGGCAUGCAGUGUCUUCCUCCCGCAGGCGAAUACAAGCACCUAGCACAUCAGUCAGCGGUAUCUAUACCAGAACUUCAUUCAGGAGCCUGUAACUCAAGAAUUAAAGAAUAAGAACCUUCUCUUCAUGGCUGCAGGGCCAAUCAGCUGAAGCUGUUUCCUCACUGAACAAGAUUCUACAUUUGGGUGGAUUUUCCAUAGCUGGUUAGCUUCAAGCUCUUCCAGUGAUUCUAAAUUAACACUGUAGACUAUCGGUAGUAACAGAUGGGGAAUCCUAUCACUACACCAUCGUCACCUCUACAGCAUCUGAGUUUUUCUUUACUCCCUGUA